AUAUAGGGAAUAGGGUGCCAUAGGGUUCUGGUCUAUAGUAGUGCACUAUAUAGGGAAUAGGGCUCUGGUCUAUAGUAGUGCACUAUAUAGGGAAUAGGGUUCCAUAGGGCUCUGGUCUAAAGUAGUGCACUAUAUAGGGAAUAGGGUUCCAUAGGGCUCUGGUCUAAAGUAGUGCACUAUAUGGGGAAUAGGGUUCCACUUGGGACACAAGCAGAGAGCAGGUCUGUUUAUAUCUGGUGCCUCUGUCUCCAAAGCAACAUGAUGAAGAUGAAGACGAUGAAACAAAUAUAUAUAUAUAUUUUUUUAUUCCAACUGGUUUUAGAACACACACAAUGAAUUAUUCAAACAUAAAACACAUCAGAAUAGUUCCUUCCUGGCUGAAGUGUGAUCAUGAACACUAAAUUAGGGAGAAAGUACAGUUCCACCGCGGUCAGAUUAAAAAAUAAACAAUUAUACAGAGAAUGUAAAUGUGUAACAGUAUGUGUACAUCCCAAAUAGAGCCCUAUUCCCUAUAUAGUGCACUACUUUAGACCAGAGCCCUAUGGAACCCUAUUCCCUAUAUAGUGCACUACUUUAGACUUUGCCCACUACCCACACUGUGUUACAUCAGGAAGUGGGGGAGGGAGGCAGCCCAACAGUAGUUGGCACUACAUAGCCUGCGUCCCAAAUGGGACCCUAAUCCAUAUAUUGUGCUCUACUUUUUUAAAACAAAAGUAGUGCACUAUAUAGGGAAUAGGGUGCCAUUUGCUCCCAAGUGGCGGAGAAGUCUAAGGCGUUGCAUCUCAGUGCAAGAGACGUCACUACAGUCCCUGGUUCGAAUUCAGGGACUGUGAUUGAGAGUCCCAUUGGGCAGUGCACAAUUGGCCCAUGUCCGAGUUUGGCCCGUGGUAGGCUGUCAUUGUAAAUAAGAAUUUUUUCUUAACUGACUUGUCUAGUUAAAUAAAAGGUUAAAUAAAAAACGAAAUACAAAUUUGGGACGCAAUCAUGGAUUCCACCAGUUAAACUUCAACCUCAUCCCCAGACUAUUUGGCACAGGAGGAAGUGUCUGGGAACAGGAGGAAGUGUCUGGGAACAGGAGGAAGUGCCUGGGCAAAGGAGGAAGUGUCUGGGAACAGGAGGAAGUGUCUGGGAACAGGAGGAAGUGUCUGGGAACAGGAGGAAGUGUCUGAGCACAGGAGGAAGUGUCUGAGCACAGGAGGAAGUGUCUGAGCACAGGAGGAAGUGUCUGAGCGCAGGAGGAAGUGUCUGAGCACAGGAGGAAGUGUCUGAGCACAGGAGGAAGUGUCUGAGAACAGGAGGAAGUGUCUGGGCACAGGAGGAAUAGUCUGGGCACAGGAGGAAGUGUCUGAGCACAGGAGGAAGUGUCUGAGAACAGGAGGAAGUGUCUGGGCACAGGAGGAAUAGUCUGGGCACAGGAGGAAGAGUCUGGGCACAGGAGGAAGAGUCUGAGCACAGGAGGAAGAGUCUGAGCACAGGAGGAAGUGUCUGGGAACAGGAGGAAGUGUCUGGGAACAGGAGGAAGUGUCUGAGCACAGGAGGAAGUGUCUGAGCGCAGGAGGAAGUGUCUGAGCGCAGGAGGAAGUGUCUGAGCACAGGAGGAAGUGUCUGAGAACAGGAGGAAGUGUCUGGGCACAGGAGGAAUAGUCUGGGCACAGGAGGAAGUGUCUGAGCACAGGAGGAAGUGUCUGAGAACAGGAGGAAGUGUCUGGGCACAGGAGGAAGUGUCUGGGAACAGGAGGAAGUGUCUGGGAACAGGAGGAAGUGUCUGAGCACAGGAGGAAGUGUCUGGGAACAGGAGGAAGUGUCUGGGAACAGGAGGAAGUGUCUGGGAACAGGAGGAAGUGUCUGAGCACAGGAGGAAGUGUCUGAGCGCAGGAGGAAGUGUCUGAGCGCAGGAGGAAGUGUCUGAGCACAGGAGGAAGUGUCUGAGCACAGGAGGAAGUGUCUGAGAACAGGAGGAAGUGUCUGGGCACAGGAGGAAUAGUCUGGGCACAGGAGGAAGUGUCUGAGCACAGGAGGAAGUGUCUGAGAACAGGAGGAAGUGUCUGGGCACAGGAGGAAUAGUCUGGGCACAGGAGGAAGAGUCUGAGCACAGGAGGAAGAGUCUGAGCACAGGAGGAAGUGUCUGGGAACAGGAGGAAGUGUCUGAGCACAGGAGGAAGUGUCUGAGCACAGGAGGAAGUGUCUGGGACCAGGAGGAAGUGUCUGGGAACAGGAGGAAGUGUCUGGGAACAGGAGGAAGUGUCUGGGCACAGGAGGAAGUGUCUGGGCACAGGAGGAAGUGUCUGGGAACAGGAGGAAGUGUCUGGGAACAGGAGGAAGUGUCUGGGAACAGGAGGAAGUGUCUGGGAACAGGAGGAAGUGUCUGGGAACAGGAGGAAGUGUCUGAGCACAGGAGGAAGUGUCUGAGCGCAGGAGGAAGUGUCUGAGCACAGGAGGAAGUGUCUGAGCGCAGGAGGAAGUGUCUGAGCACAGGAGGAAGUGUCUGAGCACAGGAGGAAGUGUCUGGGACCAGGAGGAAGUGUCUGGGACCAGGAGGAAGUGUCUGGGACCAGGAGGAAGUGUCUGAGAACAGGAGGAAGUGUCUGGGCACAGGAGGAAGUGUCUGAGCACAGGAGGAAGUGUCUGGGAACAGGAGGAAGUGUCUGGGAACAGGAGGAAGUGUCUGGGCAUAGGAGGAAGUGCCUGGGAACAGGAGGAAGUGUCUGAGCACAGGAGGAAGUGUCUGGGCACAGGAGGAAGUGUCUGAGCGCAGGAGGAAGUGUCUGAGCACAGGAGGAAGUGUCUGAGAACAGGAGGAAGUGUCUGGGCACAGGAGGAAGUGUCUGGGAACAGGAGGAAGUGUCUGAGCACAGGAGGAAGUGUCUGGGCAUAGGAGGAAGAGUCUGGGAACAGGAGGAAGUGUCUGGGAACAGGAGGAAGUGUCUGGGAACAGGAGGAAGUGCCUGGGAACAGGAGGAAGUGUCUGGGAACAGGAGGAAGUGUCUGGGAACAGGAGGAAGUGUCUGGGAACAGGAGGAAGUGUCUGGGAACAGGAGGAAGUGUCUGGGAACAAGAGGAAGUGUCUGGGAACAGGAGGAAGUGUCUGGGCACAGGAGGAAGUGCCUGGGCAAAGGAGGAAGUGUCUGGGAACAAGAGGAAGUGCCUGGGAACAGGAGGAAGUGUCUGGGAACAGGAGGAAGUGUCUGGGAACAGGAGGAAGUGUCUGGGAACAGGAGGAAGUGUCUGAGCACAGGAGGAAGUGUCUGAGCACAGGAGGAAGAGUCUGGGCACAGGAGGAAGAGUCUGGGAACAGGAGGAAGUGUCUGGGAACAGGAGGAAGUGCCUGGGAACAGGAGGAAGUGCCUGGGCAAAGGAGGAAGUGUCUGGGAACAGGAGGAAGUGUCUGGGAACAGGAGGAAGUGCCUGGGCAAAGGAGGAAGUGUCUGGGAACAGGAGGAAGUGUCUGGGAACAGGAGGAAGUGUCUGGGAACAGGAGGAAGUGUCUGGGAACAGGAGGAAGUGUCUGGGAACAGGAGGAAGUGCCUGGGAACAGGAGGAAGUGUCUGGGAACAGGAGGAAGUGUCUGGGAACAGGAGGAAGUGUCUGGGAACAGGAGGAAGUGUCUGGGAACAGGAGGAAGUGCCUGGGAACAGGAGGAAGUGUCUGGGAACAGGAGGAAGUGUCUGGGCACAGGAGGAAGUGUCUGGGAACAGGAGGAAGUGUCUGAGCACAGGAGGAAGUGUCUGAGAACAGGAGGAAGUGUCUGGGAACAAGAGGAAGUGUCUGGGAACAAGAGGAAGUGUCUGGGAACAGGAGGAAGUGUCUGGGAACAGGAGGAAGUGCCUGGGAACAGGAGGAAGUGUCUGAGCACAGGAGGAAUAGUCUGAGCACAGGAGGAAGUGUCUGAGCACAGGAGGAAGUGUCUGGGCAUAGGAGGAAGUGUCUGGGAACAGGAGGAAGUGUCUGGGAACAGGAGGAAGUGUCUGGGAACAGGAGGAAGAGUCUGGGCACAGGAGGAAGUGUCUGGGAACAAGAGGAAGUGCCUGGUGUGUGUGUAAUCUUGACAACCCAGAACCAAAUCUUGUGUGCUCUCGCGGUUCAUGUUUCUUUGUAACGAGAGAAUAGGUGUGUAUUCAUUAGUGCACAGAAAACAUUUUGCAAUGAAAGCAAAGCGUUUGUUAUUGGAUAAGUUAUGGUUAUUCUCUCCCCCAUUUCAGCCUGCUUGCUCUGGUUUGAAUACCAGUGAACACACCCUGGUGUGUAAGAACAUCAACCAGGAGAGGUCAGACGGUAUGUUUAACAGUAAGGUAGGUUCCUCUAAAUGUUUGGUCAGGAGGCUAGCUGGAUCAGUUAGUGCUCUUCAGCAUUCUGUAAACAGACAGAAACACAAUGAUACUGCUGCUUCAUUCAUCAGAGGCUUUAGGCUACAUCGAAGACCAUCAGAGACUAUCAGAGGCUUUAGGCUACAUCGAAGACCAUCGAAGACCAUCAGAGACUAUCAGAGGCUUUAGGCUACAUCGAAGACCAUCAGAGACUAUCAGAGACUAUCAGAGGCUUUAGGCUACAUCGAAGACCAUCGAAGACCAUCAGAGACAAUCAGAGACAAUCAAAAGAUCAGCAUUGUUUAUAAAAAAGGAUCAUUGGCAACAAACAUUUCUCAACAGACUAGAAAAUUACAACAGGGGGGGGGAAAAAAAAAAGUAGAUAUAAGUUUCUCUUUUCCUUCGGCCAGCCCGUCUGUGAUGUCACAGUCACAUUCGGCACAUUGGCCACGUUCUAGUAGUCCCUCCUGGUAUCUUUCUGGUUUUUCCACGUUUGGUUUCUAGUGAAUACAGCCAAGGCUAGUUCGGUGUGCGACAAGGAACAAAAUGGGCUUUCCAGACAGACAUGAUAUCAUUCAUCCACUCUGCUCCUCUGUGGAUUCCAGCAGGAAAGAUGGGACGUCGGACCGACUGGGUUUCACAAAUAGAAAACACCAAAACAAAAAAAAAAACGAUUUCUGUCCGUAGACCCAAAAAGGCUCAUUUCCUUGGCAAUUUCCCUUUGAGAGUGUCUGUUGACACUGGUAACUCAGGUAGAGAAGUGUUUGAGAUGUAAUGUCCAGAGGAAAGGCGGUAGUCUCUCAGUCUUCAUCCGUUUCUGUCUCCUGUGGCUGCUUGUCCCGUAAUAGUGGAAUGACAGACUCCCACGCUGCAAGGCACUGAAACACAGAGGGUGGGAGGGAGAGAUGAGUUAGAGGGAGAGAGGAGGACAUGAGUUAGAGGGAGAGAGAAAGAGGUUGAGAGGGGGGAGGAGAGAGAAAGAGGGAGAUGAAAGAGAGGGGGACAUAGAGAGGGAGACAACAGAGUGAGAGGGGAGAA
rnacentral:lncRNA from 1 species